UACGUAGGUGGCAAGCGUUGUCCGGAAUUACUGGGCGUAAAGCGUGCGUAGGCGGUUUGUUAAGUCUGCUGUGAAAUCCCCGGGCUCAACCUGGGAAUGGCAGUGGAUACUGGCAAGCUAGAGUGUGUCAGAGGAUGGUGGAAUUCCCGGUGUAGCGGUGAAAUGCGUAGAGAUCGGGAGGAACAUCAGUGGCGAAGGCGGCCAUCUGGGACAACACUGACGCUGAGGCACGAAAGCGUGGGGAGCAAACAGG
rnacentral:rRNA from 1 species